rnacentral:rRNA from 1 species
UACGAAGGGGGGCUAGCGUUGUUCGGAAUCACUGGGCGUAAAGGGCGCGUAGGCGGCUUUUCAAGUCGGGGGGUGAAAGCCUGUGGCUCAACCACAGAAUUGCCUUCGAUACUGUUAGGCUUGAGACCGGAAGAGGUUAGUGGAACUGCGAGUGUAGAGGUGAAAUUCGUAGAUAUUCGCAAGAACACCAGUGGCGAAGGCGGCUAACUGGUCCGGUUCUGACGCUGAGGCGCGAAAGCGUGGGGAGCAAACAGG